rnacentral:lncRNA from 1 species
GAACAUUCCAGGCUCUGUGAACUAAGUGACUGAAGCUGAUUGACACAGGUCAAGGGGACUUCAAGGAAGAAAGCCAGCCUUAGACUGACAUCAGAGAACCAAACUCCGGUGUCUAAGCUCAAGAGGUUAGAAUCCUGAGAACUGUUUGGAAUAAGGAAUCCAAAUAUUGUCUUCCAGCUUCACCUUGUCACGACAGUCCUCGCCAGGGACAGCUGAGCAUCUACAUCUCCAUUUAUGCCGUGUGCACGCAGUACCAACAGAGGUCAGAGGAGGGUGUCGGAUCCCCUGGAACUGGAGUCACAGAUUCUUCCUUGCGUGGAUGAAACAGUCCCAACGAACACUUUAAAAAGACAAAUGUUCCCGACAGCACUGGUUGAAUUCAAAACUCGGCAGAUCCAUGUUCUUAUCCUUAGACAAGAGAGGGGCCAUAACAAGAUGGAAUGACGGAACAGACGUGAGAGAUGAUGUCCACCCAGAGGGUCUGCACUUCUCGGAGCCAGAAGGUGGAGAAGAGUAGGGAUGGAGGAAGUUCGAAGUUUUAGGAGUCUGCUCUUGGGUCCCUAGGCAUGAGGACAAGCUUUUCCUGUACUCAAUGCUCAUCUCUCAGUUGUGCCCACAUUGGUACACAUUACUUGCUUUCAACUGCUGCUGCUGCUGUUUCCUAAUUCAAUAAAGAUAUGGCUGGCUCAGCAGAGAGCUGUCAUCCA